GAUGAACGCUAGCGGCAGGCUUAAUACAUGCAAGUCGUGGGGCAGCACAGUCCGCCGAAAGGCGGAUGGGUGGCGACCGGCAAACGGGUGCGGAACACGUACGCAACCUUCCUACAGGCGGGGAAUAGCCCAGAGAAAUUUGGAUUAAUACCCCAUAAAUUUAAGAUGGCAUCAUCUUGUUAUUAAAGCUUCGGCACCUGAAGAUGGGCGUGCGGCUGAUUAGGAGUUGGCGGGGUAACGGCCCACCAAGCCUGCGAUCAGUAGCUGAUGUGAGAGCAUGAUCAGCCACACGGGCACUGAGACACGGGCCCGACUCCUACGGGAGGCAGCAGUAAGGAAUAUUGGUCAAUGGACGCAAGUCUGAACCAGCCAUGCCGCGUGGAGGAU
rnacentral:rRNA from 1 species